rnacentral:piRNA from 1 species
UGAAUGGAUUUAACAGGCAGGGA